rnacentral:lncRNA from 1 species
ACGGUUCUUGUUGAUUGAUUGAUCCUUCUACAUUUCCUGAGAUCUCGUGCCCUAGACCAGCUCAGCUUCUAGUCCAGUUGUCCUCAAAGUUUAAUGUGUAUGAAAAUAUCCUGGGAAACAUUUUUCAGAUUUCUAAACUCAUCUCCAAGGAUUGUGAUUCAUAUGAAGCCUCAAAAUUGACUUUUAAAAAUAAUUCCCAGGUAAAAUCAUCAUCAACUCCAUGAACAUAAAGUUGUGGUGGAUUUGACAGUGACUAUCUUCUUGGAUUCAGACUCUGAGCUUUUGUUUCUUCCUGUGAGAAAAUAUUUGCCUUUUACCCCAAUGUUGGCCCUUGUCUUGUAAUCACCCCUUUGCCAUGCCUCUCAGGAACUGGGGACAUGCUGCUGAAUCCAAGUCCAUCAAGGCUGGGGUCUGUGUUCUCUAUAUUAACUGAAGAUAAGGAUUUCAGAACCCAGAAUAAGAAGCUCUGUUUGGAUGGACACGUGGGGGUGAUCUGGGACAUAGAAACCUGGAAAAGCUGAUGAAAGCUGAUUUUCCCUUGAAGAAGACAUUUGGAAUGAAGCAAUGUGACCUUUAAUCACCCUCAGACCUCUUUUUGUUCUUGUUCCAGGACAUUCUGUAAGUAAAAAUUCCCAGCCUCCUCUGUUCUUUUGUCUUCAUUUUAUAUGCCUUUGGUGUUUGAGUUGAGUUUUCUGUUGUUUAGUGGUGGAUUUUGAGGGGGUUUUAUCGUGGUAGGACAGAUAUGUUUGAGGGGAG